UCAGGAUGAACGCUAGCGGCAGGCCUAAUACAUGCAAGUCGAACGAUAUUAAGGGGCUUGCUCCUUAAGAAAGUGGCGCACGGGUGCGUAACGCGUAUGCAACCUACCUUAAUCAGGGGGAUAGCCCGAAGAAAUUCGGAUUAACACCGCAUAAAAACACAGAAUAGCAUUAUUCAAUGUUCAAAUAUUUAUAGGAUUAAGAUGGGCAUGCGUGUCAUUAGCUAGUUGGCGGGGUAACGGCCCACCAAGGCGACGAUGACUAGGGGAUCUGAGAGGAUGACCCCCCACACUGGUACUGAGACACGGACCAGACUCCUACGGGAGGCAGCAGUAAGGAAUAUUGGUCAAUGGAGGCAACUCUGAACCAGCCAUGCCGCGUGCAGGAAGACGGCCCUAUGGGUUGUAAACUGCUUUUAUCUGGGAAUAAACCUUUCUACGUGUAGGAAGCUGAAUGUACCAGAAGAAUAAGGAUCGGCUAACUCCGUGCCAGCAGCCGCGGUAAUACGGAGGAUCCAAGCGUUAUCCGGAUUUAUUGGGUUUAAAGGGUGCGUAGGCGGCCUGUUAAGUCAGAGGUGAAAGACGGUAGCUCAACUAUCGCAGUGCCUUUGAUACUGACGGGCUUGAAUAAACUAGAGGUAGGCGGAAUGAGACAAGUAGCGGUGAAAUGCAUAGAUAUGUCUCAGAACACCGAUUGCGAAGGCAGCUUACUAUGGUUUUAUUGACGCUGAGGCACGAAAGCGUGGGGAUCAAACAGGAUUAGAUACCCUGGUAGUCCACGCCCUAAACGAUGAAUACUCGCUGUUAGCGAUAUACAGUUAGCGGCUAAGCG
rnacentral:rRNA from 1 species